AUCCUAGAGGUGGAGGCCAGGUAAGGAGAGGUCAGCCAGCUACUUCUUAGUCCGGUGGAGGCCAGCCAGCUGGCGCUUCAGCCAGAUUCUGCCCUUCCGGCUAGGCCAGAUGUAUUGACCUCAGAUGCAGUCAUCACGGGUAUUAUUUCCGUCGGUGGUAGAGAUGCUUCGAUAUUAUUUGAUCCAGGGUCUACUUAUUCAUAUGUAUCAUCUCUGUUUGCUCGUUUCCUGGUUAUUUCUCCUAAGACUUUGGGCAUUCCUGUUCAUGUGUCCACCCUUGUGGGCAAUUCUGUGGUUGUGGAUCGGAUCUACCGGUCCUAUGUGUUCACAUUCUGUGGUUUUGAGACUAGUGCGGAUCUCCUGUUGCUUGAUAUGAUCAACUUUGAGAUCAUCCUGGGCAUGGAUUGGUUAUCCACAUAUCACGUCGUCCUAGAUUUCCAUGCCAAGACUAUUACUUUAGCGAUGCCAGGGUUCCCAAGGUUGGAAUGGAAGGGUUCCACAGUUGAUACAUCUAGUCGGGUUAUCUCUUUCCUGAAGGCUUGGCAAAUGGUCGAGAAGGGGUGUUUGGCUUAUUUGGCUUAUGUUCGAGACACCACCGUAGAGUCUCCGAUGAUUGAUUCAGUUCCGGUAGUUCAAGAUUUUGCCGAUGUGUUUCCUUCUGAUCUUCCUGGCAUGCCACCGGAUCGUGAUAUUGAUUUCUACAUUGAUUUGGCUCCAGGCAUUCAGCUUGUAUCUAUCCCACCGUACUAUAUGGCUCCGAAGGAGUUGAAGGAGCUGAAGGAGCAGCUUGAGGAGUUGUUAGCAAAGGGGGUUGUUAGACCCAGUGUAUCGCCUUGGGGUGCACCAGUGCUAUUUGUGAAGAAGAAGGAUGGAACUAUGCGGAUAUGAAUUGAUUACCGCUAGUUGAACAAAGUCACCAUCAAGAACAAGUAUCUGUUGCCUCGUAUCGAUGAUUUGUUCAACUAGUUGCAUAGUGCUAGGGUGUUCUCCAAGAUUGACUUAAGGUCAGGGUAUCAUACGCUGAAGAUUCGGGACUCUAAUGUUCCGAAGACUGCAUUCCAGACUAGAUAUAGCCACUAUGAGUUCCUGGUGAUGUCCUUUGGCUUGACUAACGCCCCAACAACAUUCAUGGACUUGAUGAAUGGGGUAUUCAGGCCUUACAUUGAGUCAUUUGUCGUCGUCUUCAUUGACGACAUCUUGAUAUACUCCCGUAGCCUGGGAGAGCACGAGCAGCAUUUGAGGGUAGUGCUUCAGACCUUGCGAGAGCAGAAGCUAUAUGCUAAGUUCUCUAAGUGUGAGUUCUAGCUAGAGUCAGUGGCAUUCUUGGGGCAUAUUAUGCCAGGAGAGGGUAUUAAGGUGGACCCCAAGAAGAUUGAGGCAGUUCAGAGUUGGCCACGUCCUACUUCGGUGAUCGAGAUUACGAGUUUCCUGGGGUUAGAAGGUUACUACAGACGAUUCGUGUAGGGCUUUUCAUAUAUUGCAUCACCUCUGACUAGAUUGACCCAGAAGGGUGCUCCUUUCCAGUGGUCCGAUGAUUAUGAUGCGAGAUUUCAGAAGCUCAAGACAGCCUUGACUACAGCACCAGUCCUUGUGUUGCCAUCCGGUUUAGGGAUGUAUACGGUAUAUUGCGAUGCUUCGCACGUUGGAUUGGGAUGUGUAUUGAUGAAGGAGGGGCAAGUUAUUGCCUAUGCUUUGCGCCAGCUGAAGGUUCAUGAGAAGAAUUAUCAUGUGCACGAUCUAGAGUUGGCCGCGAUAAUUCAUGCUCUUAAGAUAUGGAGGCAUUAUCUGUAUGGGGUGCCAUGUGAGGUUAAUACGGAUCAUCGCAACUUACAGCAUUUGUUCAAACAGAGGGAUCUUAAUUUGAGGCAGCGUAGGUGGCUUGAGUUACUAAAGGAUUAUGAUAUCACCAUUCUUUAUCAUCCGGGAAAGGCAAAUGUGGUCGCGGAUGCCUUAAGCAGAAAGGUAGAGAGUAUGUAUAGCUUAGCAUUCAUUCCAGCAGAGGAGAGACCACUUGCUUUAGACAUUCAGUCCUUGGCUAACAGACUUGUGAGGUUGGACAUUUCGGAGCCCAGCCGAGUCCUUGCGUGUGUUGUUGUUCAAUCUUCAUUAUUGGGGCACAUCAAGGCCGACAGUUUGAUGAUCCACAUUUGGCGGUUGUCAAAGAGACGGUGCUUCAGGGAGGUGCCAAGGAGGUUUCUAUGGGCGAGGAUGGUGUUUUGCGACUCCAAGGUCGUUUAUGUGUUCCUAAUGUUGAUGGUCUGAGGGAGAGGAUUCUAGAAGAAGCACACAGUUCGUGGUAUUCCAUUCAUCUGGGAGCUACGAAAAUGUAUCAUGACUUGAGACAGCAUUAUUGGUGGCGGAGGAUGAAGAAAGACAUAGUGGAGUAUGUGGCUAGGUGUUUGAAUUGCCAGCAGGUCAAGUAUGAACACUAGAGGUUGGGUGGCCUACUUCAGCAGAUGCCUAUACCAGAGUGGAAGUGGGAGAGCAUUACCAUUGAUUUCGUAGUUGGGUUGCCACGAACUUUGCGGAAGUUUGAUUCAGUAUGGGUCAUUGUCGAUAGAUUGACCAAGUCGGCACACUUCAUACCGGUGGUGACUACUUAUUCGGAGAGAAUAGCUCAGAUUUACAUUCGGGAGAUAGUCCGGUUGCACAGUGUGCCUAUUUCCAUAAUAUCAGAUAGAGGCCCUCAGUUCACUUCGCAUUUCUGGAGAGCUAUUCAAGGUGAGUUGGGGACCCGCAUGGAGCUUAGAAUGGCAUUUCAUCCAAAGACCGACAGGCAGUCGGAGCGGACAGUUUAGAUUUUGGAGGACAUACUCAGAGCAUGUGUGAUUGACUUUGGAGGGCACUGGGAUCAGUUCUUACCCUUGGCGGAGUUUGCAUACAACAAUAGCUAUCAGUCCAGCAUAGAGAUGGCUCCAUACGAGGCUUUAUAUGGUCGACGUUGUCAUUCUCCUAUCGGGUGGUUUGAGCCUGGUGAGGCUAAGUUAUACGGUAUAGAUUUGGUAUAGGAUGCCUUAGACAAGGUGAAGUUGAUUCAGGAAAGGCUUCGCACAGCUCAGUCCAGAUAGAAGUGCUACGCAGAUCAGAAGGCGCGUGAUGUAUCAUUCAUGGUUGGCGAGAAGGUCCUCUUAAAAGUCUCGCCAAUGAAGGGCGUUAUGAGAUUCGGGAAGAAAGGCAAGCUGAGCCCAAGGUUUAUUGGCCCAUUUGAGGUGUUGAGGCAGGUUGGGGAGGUUGCUUAUGAGCUUGCUUUACCCCCCAGCUUAUCGGGAGUUCAUCUGGUUUUUCAUGUAUCGAUGCUUUGGAAGUAUCAUGCCGACAUGUCCCAUGUGUUAGACUUCAGUACUAUUCAGCUGGAUGAGAGUUUGGGUUAUGAGGAGGAGCCAGUUGCUAAGAUUGCCAGUUGAGGUCUAAGAGGAUUUCUGUGGUGAGGGUCCAGUGGAGGGGCCAACCAGUCGAGGAGGCGACCUGGGAAUCCGAGGAGGACAUGCGGAGCAGAUAUCCAGAUUUAUUCAGGAGGACGGACGUUGGUUUAAGAGGUGGAGAAUGUAAUGAUCCGACUGGCCGUUUUGCCUUUUUGAACCCCGUUCCCCUAUAUAAAACUUCCCGCGCUUGCUUUAACUAAUUUAUAACUUGCGGGAAUGGUGGGUUCGGGAUUUGGAAGAUAUUGGAGUGAAAUAUGCUCAUUUGAUUCCUUAGGAGGUGACUCUUAGAUAUAGCGUUGUUUCGGGCAUUCCGUAGGGUCGUGUAGGUCCGUCUCGUGAUUUCAGACUUGUCGGUAUGUUCGGGCAGGGCCCGAGAGCCCUAAGCGUCAAGCGGACGAGGCUCGAGUGAAGUUGAGAAUUUGGAGAAGUGCUGAAGCAUCUGCUUCUAUCAUAACCGCACAUGCGGUUGGUCGACCGCAGGUGCGAGACCGUAGAAGCGGUCAUAUCCUCGCAGAUGCGGCCCAGAGCUGGCCAGGCAAAACCGCAGAAGCGGCUCCAUAGCCGCAGAAGCGGCCUCGCAGAUGCGGCUUCAAGACCGCAGAAGCAAUCCCAACCCUUUUAGCCAAUUCCGCAGAUGCGGUCUCCUCUCGCAGAUGCGGAAACUGCUGAAGCAGUGAGCUUCAUUUAAGUCGAGCUCCAGCCAUUUUUGUCCAUUUGGCACUCGGGUAUUGAGGGAUUUUGGAGCUCUUGAGAAGGGAUUUCCACAUAGCAUCGUGGGGUAAUCCCAUCCCCCUUAUUUCUAAGUUUAACACUCGAGUUUUGGGUAGAUUAACACUAAAAGAUUUGGAGAAAUCAAGGGGUUAGAGCUAGACCUAGGGUUUUAAUAAAACUUAGAUUCUACCACGAAAUUGGUUAUGAAAUGAAUUAGAAAUCAUAUAUUAUUGAUCCUUAGGUUAUAGAGAACAACUUUCUUCGGAAAAUUUCAGAAUCCGGGCACGUGGGCCCGGGGUCGGAUUUUAGGAAACUUGUAUUAAUGGUUGGGAAAUGUCUUAAAUAGCUAGAAUACGAUCUUGUGAGCUUAUAUUGACUAGUUCCUACCUCAUUAAACUAGUUUUGGAUCGUUCAGCUCCGAAUUGAGGGUUUGGGCUUGUUCGUGGUAUUGGAAGUGCACUUUGGAGCGAGGUGAGUCUCCUUUCUAACCUUGUAGAGGGAGUUAUCCCCAUAGGUGUAAUAAUUGAGUAAUUUGCUGCCAAAUGCGGGGGGCUAUGUAUGCACUAGGUGACGAGAGUCCGUGCGUAGCUACUAUUAUAUUAAUUGUCCGGGUAGUCUAGGACUCAUAACAUGUUAUAUUUGUGAAUAUCUCUAUAUUUUCUUGCUAAUAUGAUCACUUAGGGAAUGCUAGAGACUUGGAAAGGAAUAUAAGCGAAUGUAUACACUUGUAGGACACUUGUAUGAAUUUACUUAGAAUUAAAUGUGCAUUCAUGUAUUUUUUUUUAUAUUAAUUGAUAUUUGUGGAUCGGGCCGAUCGCUUCGGUAGAAAUAGAUGCAUCUAUGGUUCGUGUCCUUCGACUCUCUGACAGUGCACAGUUUAUUUUCUGUUGGAUCGGGUCGUCGACCUCGGCAUAGUGUGCGCAUGAUAUCUAUGUGAAAUCUUAUCCAUGACUUGACGGCUAAAUAUUUGAAAUGUAAAUGGCUAAUUGUAAAAUUGUUAAGAACAUAACAUAUUACUUAUUGCAACAAACUGUUGAUUAUUUGUGACUUCCAUGCUUAGUGUAACACUUCAUUGUAUUAUUUAACCUUAGUAAGUAUCAAGUCGACCUCUCGUCUCUACUUUUUCGAGAUUAGACGUGAUACUUACGGGGUACAUAUUAUUUAUGUACUCAUACUACACUUCUGUACUUAAUUGUACAGAAUCUGAGGCAGGUAUAUCUGGCUAUCAGACUGGUGCGCGCCCCUGAUUCUUAGACCGAGACUUCCACAGUGAGCUGCUCUCUUCUUGUGCCAUUCAGCAGCUUGAUGGGGUCUUUCUUUACUUUUGUUGUCUAUUCUAUCCCGGACAGUAGGAUGAUAUUAUUCUUUUGUACAUUCUACUAGUUGCCCAGUACUUGUGACACCAGGUCUUGGCACACACAUUAAUAGACAGUUCUUUUAGGUUGUAUAAUUAUUAUUAAAUAUUGCUUAUCAUCACAUGUUUUAAUUGCAAAUUAAGAAAUGUUGUAACCGAUUUGGGUAAGUGAAAUAAGAAUUUACUAAUACUUCCAUGUUGGCUUGCCUGACAAUGAUGUUGGGCGCCAUUAUGACCCUUAGUAGAAUUUGGGUCGUGACACAUCCCAAACAAAUCUUGAAACAAGAGGAAUAAUUACAUAAACAAAUGGAAUAAAAGGGAAAGGAAAGAAAAACAUGUAAAAUGCAAGAAAUUAAGAAAAAACAAACCUCAUUAAUCAAGUAAUCUGAAAAGCUCCAUAAACAGUGAUGAAAGAGGAAGAAGUACAACUUUCAUUGUAGUAAAUUCAUUUUAGAUUUGAAUAUUAAUAAACCCCAAAGCAAACCAACAUACAGCAAAUACUCCGCCAAAUGAAAGUGCAACAGGAAGCUCCGAUUAAAAAAUUAUACGAAAAUUGAACCGAGAUCGGAGUUCGAACAGAGAACUCGUUCGCGAAGCUCAAGCUCAACUGGAGUUUGUGUGUUUUGAGGACUGAUUUUAACUGCGUUUGUUUUGCCGAGAUUUUGAUGGUGGUUUUUAAGGGAGUUCUAGGAUGAUUCAUGGAGGAUUUUGGAGUUGUUUUAAUGGUGGGUUUUAGUGCUAUUUUCAGCUGAAUUUGGAGUGAUUCCUGAAGUGUUAGGAAAGUGAAUAAAGAGAGAUUAUUUGGUAAAUUGCAGUUGAUAUGUGGUACGUUCUUCAGCGUUGAGGAAGAUGAAGAGCUAAGGUCUUCUAAGGGAAAAGGUCCGCCGUUUUCGUUUUUAGGAAG
rnacentral:lncRNA from 1 species